CAAGACCAUAUGCUCUGUGCCUGUGCGCAAAAGGUUUGUAUUAAACUGACCUUGGGAGUUCUUGCACCUCUCCAGAAAGCUACGCCGCCUGCGCGUAACGAUGGUAAAGAGCUGGCUCUUGCACAUCUCUGCUGGUACACCUGGACCCUUUCAGUUAAAGAUCUGUUUCUGUUCAGUUCUGAACGCUGGCCAAGCUACACAGGUAGAGCGGCGCGCACGAACAAGCGCCCAUUCACCCGGCACCAACACACACAAACCAGCGCGCCCUGCGCAAACAUCCAGCCACCAAGCGCUCUUUGUCCCCGGUGUUACCGGCGAAUGGAGGCGGCUGACCUGCGUGACUCUUGGUACCUGAUAUGAGUCAAAAUCCUGAUCCGUUAAUCUGCGUGACUGCGUCGCUGCCCGAGAGCGCGAGCCGUCGUCUCAUGCAUCGGAUAAACCGUGGUGCGGAAUGAGCGCGAUCUCCCACCGGUCUGCUGCGCGACACCACCAUAAAUCCCUCCCGUGGAGCGACGGGAAUAAUCCGCGGGCGAUUCUGUCCGGUCCUGCCCGGGUGCUGUAGGCAUUUAUGCCGGGUUGGCAACGGCUACAGCGGCUACUGGAUGUUUGGUGCUUGGGGGGUUUGAGGAGUCAGGAGUGGAAGUUUCAUCCUUUUUCCUUUUUUAAAUAGCAGUUUGGAGAGCAGCUGUGGUGAGCGCCGGGUGUCGGGUUUCACGGCCGCCGUACACAACGCCCCUUGUGGGAGGGCACACCGGGGCACCUAGCUCCUGCCAAGGAGUUUCCCAGAGCUCAGGCCCUACAGAACCUAUAGCACCACAGUUCAAAGGUCACUGGACGGCUUCAGGCUCAAACAUGGCUGGAAUACUACCAUACUGCUUACUGCAUACUGUGAAAUCUACUAUUUG